AAUUUUCUUAACAUGUGCGCUUAGGCCACAUGCUAAGCACGGAAUUUAAGGGAUAAACACUUAAUUCAAAUGAUAGGACCCACUGAAAUAUAAUUUUUAAAUGCAUAUGGUCCCAUUGAAUAACAAAUGUAAUCAAUGAUUAAAUCAAGACAAAUUAAUCAAUCUAAAUGAUUACUCGUUCUUUUGUUUUUUAUUUAUAUUUACAAUAAUACAUACAUAAAAAUUAAUCAUAUUUUAGCUCAUACAUAGUAAAAUUUAAAAAAAUCAAAUAAUAAUACUCCAUCUAUAUACACACAAUGACAUAUAGUUUAAUUAUGUAAUACUCCAAUAUAACAUUAAUUUAAUUAAUAUAUAAUUAUUCGGGGGCGGGGGAGCAAAUAUCAUUCCUUCCCCAUCUCCUUAAAUAACAUUCGGUGAUUUCUCAUCCUCAAUUACAGUCAAAAUCAUCGUCUCCAUUUGAGGUGGGGGGUGGAGAUCACCGGCUAUUGGCAUAGAAACCGAAGUACAAAGGUGUUGUACUCUAUUUUGUUUUUACUUUUUAACUGAAAACCCACUCCUCUGAGAAUAUCAUUUCUAAGACCAAGAAACCCCAUACCUCUAUCAUCUCUUUCGCUACAGUUUCUCUCUUUCUCUCUCCUCCUAUCUCCCCGUCUGCCACCAAUCAAACCGCCACCACCAUGGCGAGCCGUGAUGGGCGCCACCCAAAACCCGGACGACUACGGCGACGUGGAGUUCUGGUUGAACCGGAGAGAACCGAAAUAUGAGGGUUCAGUGCUUGUAUUCAGUGGAGAGAGAAAGCGGUAGGAAUCGAGGAAGAGAAUGAAGGGGCGAAGGUGCCGGAGGAGAGAUGAGAGAUCGAGAGGGGGGAGUCAUUUGGGAUCUCGAAGAACACUGGAGUAGAUUCGUAGAGAGCAACUGAGAUAGUGAGAUGGAAUUAGGGAAAUGAGAUCUGCUUUUUUUUCCCCAAAAAAUAUGGAUCUAUGGCCAUGGAAUUGGGAAUUGGGCAUGGAACUGAAAUAGAAUUGUAGAUCUAUUUUUCCCCAAGAUGGGCCAUGGAAUUAAGAAUUGGCCCGUCCAAAUUUAUAAGUUUAUUUGACUUAUUUAUAUCAGGCCCAUCAUACAAAUAUUAAAUUUCUUUUUUUUAAUAAAUAUGUUCGGUUAUUCGGGUAACCGAAUAUGAUGAUUUUAAUAACCGAAAUCGAAUACCGAAUAAAAAUUCGGAUAUAACCGAAUUACAAAUAAUAACCGAAUUAUUAAGAAAUUUCGGUUAAAAAAAUUCGGUUCGCUUCGAUUUUUUGGUUAUAUCCGUUUUUUGCUCAGUCCUAUCUCCCAUAGCGGAAGAGCAUCCAAAG
rnacentral:lncRNA from 1 species